GCCAGCAGCCAUAUCACCCUGCAACUCACAACUGGCAGCCGUGUGAGCCUGGUCAGUACCUGGAUGGGGGACCUCCUGGGAAAAACUAAGGUUGCUGCUGGAA
rnacentral:rRNA from 1 species